rnacentral:rRNA from 1 species
AACGAACGCUGGCGGCAGGCUUAACACAUGCAAGUCGAACGAAGUCUUCGGACUUAGCGGCGGACGGGUGAGUAACACGUGGGAACGUACCUUUUGGUUCGGAACAACUCAGGGAAACUUGAGCUAAUACCGGAUGAGCCCUUAGGGGGAAAGAUUUAUCGCCGAAAGAGCGGCCCGCGUUAGAUUAGCUAGUUGGUGAGGUAAAGGCUCACCAAGGCUACGAUCUAUAGCUGGUCUGAGAGGAUGAUCAGCCACACUGGGACUGAGACACGGCCCAGACUCCUACGGGAGGCAGCAGUGGGGAAUCUUGCGCAAUGGGCGAAAGCCUGACGCAGCCAUGGCGCGUGAAUGAUGAAGGUCUUAGGAUUGUAAAAUUCUUUUACCAGGGACGAUAAUGACGGUACCUGGAGAAAAAGCCCCGGCUAACUUCGUGCCAGCAGCCGCCGUAACAC